GACGAACGCUGGCGGUGUGCCUAAUACAUGCAAGUAGGACGCAGUUGCGAACGGGUGAGUAACGCGUAGGUAACUACCUAUUAGAGGGGGAUAACUAUUGGAAACGAUAGCUAAUACCGCAUACUAGUAGAUUGACCUGCGUUGUAUUAGCUAGUAGGUUGGGUAAUGGCCUACCUAGGCAACGAUACAUAGCCGACCUGGGAGGGUGAUCGGCCAAACUGGGAAUGGGACACGGGCCAGAAUCCCACGGGAGGCAGCAGGAGGGGAUCUUCGGAAAUGGGGGGAACCCUGAACGAGCAACGCCGCGGGAGUGAAGGAGGGUUUCAGGGCGGAAAGCUCUGUUGUUAAGGAAGCGGUACUUAACCAGAAAGGGACGGCUAACUACGUGCCAGCAGCCGCGGUAAUAC
rnacentral:rRNA from 1 species